CGGAGCGUAGCGCAGUUUGGUAGCGCACUUGCUUUGGGAGCAAGGGGUCGGAGGUUCAAAUCCUCUCGGCUCCGACCA
rnacentral:tRNA from 1 species